UGAAAGAUGAUCAGGUUGAUAGGUCUGAGGUGGAAGUGUGGCGACGCAUGGAGCUGACAGAUACUAAUCGAUCGAGGACUUAACCAC
rnacentral:rRNA from 1 species